CAGCUGUAGAGAAGACCCUCUCAGCUGGAACGGAGGUUGCGGGUAUAGCAAGGUAUAGUAUGUAUAUAAGUUUAAUUUGGCAUAGUUUGACCUCUACACCGCACUCACUAACCUGGUCGAAAUAUUCCCACACAUUACUCCUUUUUGACGCCAUGUCUGUUGUGUAGGACUCUUCUUAGAGUGUAAAUAAUUACCGGACUAUGACUGGUUGAAUACCGGCAAAACUAAAUCUCUCCUGUCAAAAUGUCUAUGUACUUUGCCGCCACACACGGUUGCCAAGCAGCGCUUAUUGUUGUUUAGGCUGGCCACUCAUGUGUCGCGAGUGUUGACAGGGGGCGGGGGAGCAUGCUCAUGAACUGCUGGAGCUCCCCCGUAA